CUCGAAAUAGAAAGAGCUAAUUUUAUUGUGAAAUAAAUACUUAUUAUUAUUAAUUAGAAAUGAAACGUUAUUCGUUUUCUAAUAUAUCUAGUUUUUUAAGAAAAAAGUUUAAUUUUAUUUCUGUUAAUAAUUUUAUUAUGGGAUAAGCUUUUAAUAUAAUUUUUAUAAGUUAUGAAUUUAGUAAAAGUUAUAGGAUUAGAAUUUUCCAUUUUUUAUAGAAUGUUAUAAUUAGUUAUUUUAAUUUUUUUAUUAAGAUUUAAUAUUUAAUUUAUUAUUUUUAGUAAUAAUGAUUGGAUUAGUAAAGUUUAUGUAAGGAACUCGGCAAUAUUGUUUUCACCUGUUUAAUAAAAACAUGGCCUUUUGAAUAUGAUUUAAGGUCUUACCUGCCCAAUGAUUUAAUGGCCGCAGUAUUUUGACUGUGCAAAGGUAGCAUAAUCAUUAGUUUUUUAAAUGAAAGCUGGAAUGAAUGGUUUGAUGAGAAAUUAGCUGUCUCUAGAAUUUUAAUUUUAAGUGAAAAAGCUUAAAUUUUAUAUAAAGACGAGAAGACCCUAUAGAGUUUUUUUGUUGGGGUGAUAUAAAAAUUAAAUUAACUUUUUAUUUUUAUGAAUAAUUGAUCCUGGAUUAUAAGAUCAAAUUACCUUAGGGAUAACAGCGUAAUUUUUUUUUGAAGUUCUU
rnacentral:rRNA from 1 species